AUCUCAAUUUUAAAGAUAAGGAUUCCUGUAGACCUUCUUUCGUGUUAUUAAUGGUUCCCUUGGUUGUCACAAAUGCAUCUGGCUUGCUUAUUGUAGAAAUGGUAUUAAACAUGUGCCACUAGGAAUCCAGAGGGGCAUGUCUGUGCUUCCCUUCCUUACUUGGACCUCAUCAGAUUCGUGACACUGAUGUCCACGUACACCAGCACCCAUCAUAAGGUGGAAGCCACCCAAGACCCAGCCUGAUAAAGCCAUGUUGAAAGGAACCAAGCAUUGGUGCAGAGAAAUUCCCGCCCCUGAGCUAAGGGAGCCACAGGAAGAGACUUGGAUCUGGCCGCAGCUCAGGGAGGAGCUGGCCGAUCUGCCCCCUCAGUCCCGAGGACAUUCAGGGACAUGUCGCCAUCUUGUGACCCUUUAGGGGGAUGAUCCAGAAGAUCAAACAAGAAUCCUCAUUCCUCGUGGCCCUUCUGUGAGUGUUUCUGGUGGAAUUCCCAGUUUUCACUCUUGGAAAAAACAAAACAAACAUUUUGUGGAAGCUCAGAUGUCUUCUUUUCCUAAACGUUUUUCAUUAAUGAUCAUUGGUAGCAGUAUUUACUUUCUUGUCAUUUGCCAAAUAAGGCAGGAGACACAUGGUGUCUCUUGAAGUUGUGCCUGCCCUCCCAUCUGAGGCUUGAACUCCGGACUCACAGGCUGGUCAUUGUGACAGGCAGGAAAUUGUUCCCAGUUUCCCUUCUCAGCUAUCUGGACUUCCAUUUCUUCUGCAAAAGAAACACUGGCUUCUAAGGACGUCUCCCCAAGAGUUGACAAGGCUUCUGCUGUUACUUAUGCUUAGAAGGACACCGUUCUGGGGUCCACACCGGCCGCCAUGCCUGCUUCCCCAGGGCGGGACAGUAAUCUGGUCUUCUGGGCAAGGACAGCCGUGCUCAUCUGUUGCCUAGUCGUUUUGUCUUCUCUUCCGGUUGUCUUUGUGCCUCCAGGAAACCCAUUUGCUCUUCGCUGUCGGAAGUCUCCUCUCUGGCUGUGCUGCAGAGGGCCUAGUCCCCAGCACGGGAGGAACACUGGCCGCCUGACUCCUCGCCUUCACGCUGCACCUGCAGCCGGGUGGCCUGAGAGCGUCUCUUCAGCAUGCCCACUGAGGACCUCGCGGGGCUGACUGUCACCACCCGGGCAGGGCUCUCCGGUGCUGACCCGAGUCCUUCUUGUUGUUCUGGUAGACCCAAAGCACUGUUUUUGCAGAUAUAAAUCUUAUCAUCUUUACUGUAGAGAUAAAGCUGAGAAUCAAAGAAUAAUAACUUCUAUUUCUUAUGUUUCUUUUUUCAAAUUAAGACUUUUUUUGAUUAAAAUAAAG